GAUGACAUUGGUAAGGAAAAAGGACAGACUAAAUGUUCUUAACACAUGUAUGCCUUACCUCGUUGGCAAUUGCAGAAUGUUGACUUUAGAAUCACAGCAUCACAGACUAUAGAAUCUCUUCCACUUUUCAAACAAACAAGCUGAGUGAAAAGUCGAGGGGGUUAUCAAAGCCAUGGGGCAGGGACCAAAAGAGGGAAUGUGGAUGUGGCAGCUCUACUAGUUCUGUGUUUUAUUCUGAAUUUCAGAGAUCAGAGACAGGAUGCAUUCUCAUCCAGGGACUUACAGUCAAUUCUACAGGCCCUCCUGGAAGUGUAUUGUAUUGCAACGGAGUCUCCCUAGACUGUAUAAAACCCCUCUUUCUAGAAGAUUUUCAGGCAGCCUUUUGUGUUCCAGAAAUAUCCAGAAAACAUGUAUGCAGGAGAAACAUGCACCAUGAGUUUAUCGAUGUAAUCAGGUGAAGUGUGUUAAAACAAAAAAAAUAAAAGAAUUACCUUGCUGAGUACAGAG